rnacentral:siRNA from 1 species
GGAGAAAGUAGCUGCUGACGUGUC